CCUACGGGAGGCAGCAGUGGGGAAUAUUGGUCAAUGGGCGAAAGCCUGAUCCAGCAACGCCGCGUGAGGGAAUACUGCUUUCUGGUUUUAAAAUUCUUUUCUUCGUGGAGAAUAAGCACGGUAGCUCCGGAGCUAACCACGGCCAAAUACGUAGCAGCAGCCACCGUAAUACGAGGGGCGGCAGUGUUACGCGGAUUUACUGGGUGUAAAGGGUGCGUAGGCGGCAGAGCAAGGGUGGAGUGAAAUGCCUGGGCCCAACCCCGGAACUGCCCUUGAAACUGUGAAGCUGGAGUGCAGGAGAGGUAAGCGGAAUGCCUGGUGUAGCGGUGAAAUGCGUAGAUAUCAGGAAGAACACCGGCGGCGAAGGCGGCUUACUGGACUACAACUGACGGUGAGGCACGAAGGCGUGGGGAGCAAACAGGAUUAGAUACCCGAGUAGUC
rnacentral:rRNA from 1 species